UACAGAGGGGGCAAGCGUUAUUCGGAAUUAUUGGGCGUAGAGGGCGCGUAGGCGGCCUUGCAAGUGACGGGUGAAAUCCCUCGGCUUAACCGAGGAACUGCCUGUCAAACUGCGUGGCUUGAGACCAGGAGAGGUGAGUGGAAUUCCCAGCGUAGCGGUGAAAUGCGUAGAUAUUGGGAGGAACACCAGUGGCGAAGGCGGCUCACUGGACCGGUACUGACGCUGAGGCGCGAAAGCGUGGGGAGCAAACAGG
rnacentral:rRNA from 1 species